rnacentral:rRNA from 1 species
GAUGAACGCUGGCGGCGUGCCUAAUACAUGCAAGUCGAGCGAACGGACGAGAAGCUUUCUUCUCUGAUGUUAGCGGCGGACGGGUGAGUAACACGUGGAUAACCUACCUAUAAGACUGGGAUAACUUCGGGAAACCGGAGCUAAUACCGGUUAAUAUUUUGAACCGCAUGGUUCAAAAGUGAAAGACGGUCUUGCUGUCACUUAUAGAUGUAUCCUCGCUGCAUUAGCUAGUUGGUAAGGUAACGGCUUACCAAGGCAACGAUGCAUAGCCGACCUGAGAGGAUGAUCGGCCACACUGGAACUGAGACACGGUCCAGACUCCUACGGGAGGCAGCAGUAGGGAAUCUUCCGCAAUGGGCGAAAGCCUGACGGAGCAACGCCGCGUGAGUGAUGAAGGUCUUCGGAUCGUAAAACUCUGUUAUUAGGGAAGAACAUAUGUGUAAGUAACUGUGCACAUCUUGACGGUACCUAAACAGAAAGCCACGGCUAACUACGUG